GGCACUGGCCUAGUGGACUAAGACUUCGGAAGAAGCAGCAAGAAGUGCGCCGCCCGCCCUCUCGAAACUUUUGUAAAUAGUUAUUUAUUCAUCCAGCGACACUUGUUGUCACCCCGGACCACCGACGCCAUGACACGCAAUCUACAAUUAUGAUCCCAGUGGUGAGCCGGAGCUGUGCUUGCAGGUGGGGGACACGGUACACAUACUGGAGAAAUUGGAAGGGUGGUAUCGAGGCUACACGCUGCGCCACAAAUCACAUAAGGGCAUUUUCCCGGCG